rnacentral:rRNA from 1 species
GACGGGGCCCGCACAAGCGGUGGAGUAUGUGGUUUAAUUCGAUGCAACGCGAAGAACCUUACCUGGUCUUGACAUCCCGGAGACCCUUAGGAAACUAGGGGGUGGCUUCCAUCUGGAAGAAUCUGGAGACAGGUGCUGCAUGGCUGUCGUCAGCUCGUGUCGUGAGAUGUUGGGUUAAGUCCCGCAACGAGCGCAACCCUUGCCUUUAGUUGCCAGCAGUUCGGCUGGGCACUCUAAAGGGACUGCCGGUGUUAAACCGGAGGAAGGUGGGGAUGACGUCAAGUCCUCAUGGCCUUUAUGACCAGGGCUACACACGUACUACAAUGGCCGAUACAAAGGGCAGCGACGGCGCGAGUCGUAGCGGAUCCCUCAAAGCCGGUCCCAGUUCGGAUUGCAGUCUGCAACUCGACUGCAUGAAGCCGGAAUCGCUAGUAAUCGUGGAUCAGCCAAGCCGCGGUGAAUACGUUCCCGGGCCUU